rnacentral:siRNA from 1 species
AGGAAGGAAGUUACGGAUGGGA